CAGCCGUGUUACCUCCUGCCCAGGGGUUUUCAAACUGAAGGUCGGGACCCCUCAGCGGGUUGCAAAAUUAUUACAUGGGGAGUCGCAAGCUGUCAGCCUCCACCCCAAACCCUGCUUUGCCUCCAGCAUUUAUAAUGGUGUUAAAUAUAU